rnacentral:lncRNA from 1 species
CAAAUUGGGGCUUUUGCUCAUGAGGGUUUUUAAGUGCAAUUGACCCUCUAAAAACCUAAUUGGGGGUAUUCCCGACGCGUUGGUGCGCUCGGAAUAGCAUUUCGAAAAGUGUAUGUAAAGUUAUGGGCAAAAUGGCCUAAUGAGGGUUCGUUUUGCCGCAGGUAAAGAACGAAGCGUCUAAAAAUCCCAAGAAAAUCAUCGGAGCACCUUUGAAAGCCUACGAGGUGGGUGGUGCUUUCCAAACUCAUUGAAAUUCUCUCUAUGCCUAAUGUGUCAUUCUUUGAGCAUAUGUUCUAUAUAUUGUUGCAUGCAUUUUAGGGUAAAGUUAUGAUGAAAUGUGAUGAUUGCAUGAUUGUGAGCACAACUUGCAUAAUGAGAUGGUUGAGAACCUAAUAAUGUCAAAACCCUAGAUGUAUGCAUGAGAGGAAAUGUGAGCACCCAAAGUGAGCAAAAGAACAGAGUGGCACAAUGACAUAGAUCGAGUGGCAUUUGAAAACGUAAAGUAAAGUGACACUAGAGUUAGUGUGAGCCAAAGAACCAAAGUGAUGUAAAGAUUGAUGAAAAUGACAAUGUGUAAAGUUAAAGUAAAGUGGGGCAAUAAGAACGAGAAAUGUAAAGAAUAAGAAUGCUAAAGGUGGCAAAAGUAAAAGAAAAGUAAAGAACAACGAUUGCAUGAGUUUGCAAUAUAAAGUGAUGUAAAGAACACUAGAGCUAGUGUAAAGUCAAGAUUGAACUUAUAAAUCCUUUGAGUUAAGGAUAUGAUCAUACUUGCUAUGAGUUCCGUGCUCGAGGGCGGUCGCUCCCCCUCGGGCGAUGCGCUCCGGAGUUAUGCAUCCGGGUUGGAGUAGACCCGUAAGGACGGUCCUAGCUGGUGAGUUCCUGCGAUGAUGGACUUAAUGUGAAGCAAGUCAAUGUGGCGAAACCCCC